AAUUUAAUUGGCAGAUAAAUGUUGUAAAGUUAGAAUUUAUUUAUAAUUGUUUUAAAUUUUAUUUUUAAAU
rnacentral:tRNA from 1 species